UGAGAAUGCAAAUCCUUAGCU
rnacentral:miRNA from 1 species